GAUGAAGAACGUAGCGAAAUGCGAUACGUAAUGUGAAUUGCAGAAUUCAGUGAAUCAUCGAGUCUUUGAACGCACAUUGCGCCCCCUGGUAUUCCGGGGGGCAUGCCUGUCCGAGCGUCAUUGCUGCCCUCAAGCCCGGCUUGUGUGUUGGGUCUCGUCCCCCUUCCCGGGGGGACGGGCCCGAAAGGCAGCGGCGGCACCGUGUCCGGUCCUCGAGCGUAUGGGGCUUUGUCACCCGCUCUGUAGGCCCGGCCGGCGCUUGCCGAUCAACCAAAACUUUUUUCCAGGUUGACCUCGGAUCAGGUAGGGAUACCCGCUGAACUUAAGCAUAUCAAUAGCGGAGGA
rnacentral:misc_RNA from 1 species